rnacentral:rRNA from 1 species
UACGUAGGGGGCAAGCGUUGUCCGGAUUCAUUGGGCGUAAAGAGCGCGCAGGCGGCUUGGUAAGUCGGAUGUGAAAUCCCGAGGCUCAACCUCGGGUCUGCAUCCGAUACUGCCCGGCUAGAGGUAGGUAGGGGAGAGUCGGAAUUCCUGGUGUGAGCGGUGAAAUGCGCAGAUAUCAGGAGGAACACCGGUGGCGAAGGCGGAUCUCUGGGCCUUACCUGACGCUCAGGCGCGAAAGCUAGGGGAGCGAACUGG